rnacentral:rRNA from 1 species
GAUCAUGGCUCAGGAUGAACGCUGGCGGCGCGCCUAACACAUGCAAGUCGAACGGCACCCACCUUCGGUGGAAGCGAGUGGCGAACGGCUGAGUAACACGUGGAGAACCUGCCCCCUCCCCCGGGAUAGCCGCCCGAAAGGACGGGUAAUACCGGAUACCCCGGGGUGCCGCAUGGCACCCAGGCUAAAGCCCCGACGGGAGGGGAUGGCUCCGCGGCCCAUCAGGUAGACGGCGGGGUGACGGCCCACCGUGCCGACAACGGGUAGCCGGGUUG